AUGGGGGAUGAAAGAGCAUGGAAGCAUGAGAAAAUAUGUGAGAGACAUCCUUGGGGGUUGAUGCCUCCGCCGUCGCAAAAGACCGACCGGCCGGCCGCCACCCAAGGUACCACCAUUACCAACCCGGAGCUUCCAAGCGAUUUUGCUCCCUCUUAUGCGUGUUUUGAUUCGUGGGGGAGAAUUGGAGGUAGUGGUCUGGUUCAGAGGGCUUUCCCAGUUUUUUUAAUGUUUUUUUACUUCUUUUAUUACUUAGUCUACUUUUUUCUAUUUACAUCCAAUAUUUUGAGAAUUUAA